rnacentral:rRNA from 1 species
AUUGAACGCUGGCGGCAUGCUUUACACAUGCAAGUCGAACGGUAACAGGCCUUCGGGUGCUGUCGAGUGGCGCACGGGUGCGUAAUGCAUCGGAACGUACCCAGCGGUGGUGGCUAUCGCAUCGAAAGCUGUGCUAAUACCUCAUGUUAUCUGAGGAUGAAAGCGGGGGACCGCGUAGCAAUGUUUUGCCUCGUGCCUUUGUAGUGGCCGAUGUGGGAGUAGCUAGUUGGUGGGGUAAAGGCCUACCAAGGCGACGAUCCGUUGCUGGUCUGAGAGGAGGAGAAGCCACACGGGAAGUGAGACACGGACCAGACUCCUACGGGAGGCAGCAGAGGGGAAUGGUGGACAAGGGACGAAAGCAUGAACAAGCAAAGUCGAGUGGGGGAAGAAGGGAUGGGGGUAGGAAACGGAUAUUGGGAGGAAAAAAAAGGAGAGAGAGAAAAGCGGGCGAUAAUGACGGUACCUGAAGAAUAAGCACCGGCUAACUACGUG